UACGGAGGAUCCAAGCGUUAUCCGGAUUCAUUGGGUUUAAGGGUGCGUAGGCGGAAUGAUAAGUCAGUGGUGAAAUCCUGCAGCUUAACUGCAGAACUGCCAUUGAUACUGUCAAUCUUGAGUACAUUUGAUGUGGGCGGAAUGUGUCAUGUAGCGGUGAAAUGCUUAGAUAUGACACAGAACACCGAUUGCGAAGGCAGCUCACAAAACUGUAACUGACGCUGAGGCACGAAAGCGUGGGUAUCAAACAGG
rnacentral:rRNA from 1 species